rnacentral:rRNA from 1 species
GAUGAACGCUGGCGGCGUGCUUAACACAUGCAAGUCGAACGAUGAAGCCCAGCUUGCUGGGUGGAUUAGUGGCGAACGGGUGAGUAACACGUGAGUAACCUGCCCUUAACUCUGGGAUAAGCCUGGGAAACUGGGUCUAAUACCGGAUAGGAGCGUCCACCGCAUGGUGGGUGUUGGAAAGAUUUAUCGGUUUUGGAUGGACUCGCGGCCUAUCAGCUUGUUGGUGAGGUAAUGGCUCACCAAGGCGACGACGGGUAGCCGGCCUGAGAGGGUGACCGGCCACGCUGGGACUGAGACACGGCCCAGACUCCUACGGGAGGCAGCAGUGGGGAAUAUUGCACAAUGGGCGCAAGCCUGAUGCAGCGACGCCGCGUGAGGGAUGACGGCCUUCGGGUUGUAAACCUCUUUCAGUAGGGAAGAAGCGAAAGUGACGGUACCUGCAGAAGAAGCACCGGCUAACUACGU